rnacentral:tRNA from 1 species
GGAGGUAUGGCUCAAAUGGUAGAGCACCUGCCUGGAAAGCACAAGGUCCUGAGUUCAAAUCCCAGCACCACCA